CUCUCCUUUAAAAAUUAAAUAUGUACAGUAGUGAUAUGUGUAUUAAUUUACUAAUGCAUUUGAGAACACUCACCAAGUUGAUGCCAGACUUUUUUCAAACUAGUACUGUACACCAACAUUUAAAUGUUUAACCCAUUAAGCUGCAGAGCUUCCCCAUUGACGAGUAAAAUCGUCUGGCAUUAGACAAGUAAAAAAAAUAAGUUGGGCGCACUGGAGCGCAUUGCGGCUCAAUGGGUUAACUAGAGACAUUGUCAUAUUUCUUGGUUAACCCAUUAAGCUGCAGAGCUUCCCCAUUGACGAAUAAAAUCGUCUGGUGUUAGACAAGUAAAAAAAAAGUAGGGCGCACUGGGGCGCAUUCUGGCUCAAU